rnacentral:rRNA from 1 species
UACGGAGGAGGCAAGCGUUAUCCGGAAUUAUUGGGCGUAAAGCGUCCGUAGGUGGCUAGUCAAGUCUGCGGUCAAAGACUGGGGCUUAACCCUGGAAAGGCCGUGGAAACUGUCGAGCUAGAGUGCAGUAGGGGUAGAGGGAAUUCCCGGUGUAGCGGUGAAGUGCGUAGAGCUCGGGAAGAACACCGGUGGCGAAGGCGGCUCUCUGGGCCUUACCUGACGCUGAGGAGCGAAAGCGUGGGUAGCGAACAGG